rnacentral:rRNA from 1 species
GGGUUGUGAGGUUAAGCGACUAAGCGUACACGGUGGAUGCCCUGGCAGUCAGAGGCGAUGAAGGGCGUGCUAAUCUGCGAUAAGCGCCGGUAAGGUGAUAUGAACCGUUAUAACCGGCGAUACCCGAAUGGGGAAACCCAGUGUGAUUCGUCACACUAUCAUUAACUGAAUCCAUAGGUUAAUGAGGCGAACCGGGGGAACUGAAACAUCUAAGUACCCCGAGGAAAAGAAAUCAACCGAGAUUCCCCCAGUAGCGGCGAGCGAACGGGGAGGAGCCCAGAGCCUGAAUCAGCAUGUGUGUUAGUGGAAGCGUCUGGAAAGGCGCGCGAUACAGGGUGACAGCCCCGUACACAAAAGCGCAUGUGCUGUGAGCUCGAUGAGUAGGGCGGGACACGUGGUAUCCUGUCUGAAUAUGGGGGGACCAUCCUCCAAGGCUAAAUACUCCUGACUGACCGAUAGUGAACCAGUACCGUGAGGGAAAGGCGAAAAGAACCCCGGCGAGGGGAGUGAAAAAGAACCUGAAACCGUGUACGUACAAGCAGUGGGAGCACAGGUUUACCUGUGUGACUGCGUACCUUUUGUAUAAUGGGUCAGCGACUUAUAUUCUGUAGCAAGGUUAACCGUAUAGGGGAGCCGGAGGGAAACCGAGUCUUAACCGGGCGUUAAGUUGCAGGGUAUAGACCCGAAACCCGGUGAUCUAGCCAUGGGCAGGUUGAAGGUUGGGUAACACUAACUGGAGGACCGAACCGACUAAUGUUGAAAAAUUAGCGGAUGACCUGUGGCUGGGGGUGAAAGGCCAAUCAAACCGGGAGAUAGCUGGUUCUCCCCGAAAGCUAUUUAGGUAGCGCCUCGUGAAUUCAUCUCCGGGGGUAGAGCACUGUUUCGGCUAGGGGGCCAUCCCGGCUUACCAACCCGAUGCAAACUGCGAAUACCGGAGAAUGUUAUCACGGGAGACACACGGCGGGUGCUAACGUCCGUCGUGAAGAGGGAAACAACCCAGACCGCCAGCUAAGGUCCCAAAGUCAUGGUUAAGUGGGAAACGAUGUGGGAAGGCCCAGACAGCCAGGAUGUUGGCUUAGAAGCAGCCAUCAUUUAAAGAAAGCGUAAUAGCUCACUGGUCGAGUCGGCCUGCGCGGAAGAUGUAACGGGGCUAAACCAUGCACCGAAGCUGCGGCAGCGAACGUAUCACCCAAGACAACUUUACGGAGUUGACGAUUGACGGAGCGAAGCGACGUCAAAGCGUUCAUUAAAGUCGAGUUGGCUUAGGGAUACGUUCGUUGGGUAGGGGAGCGUUCUGUAAGCCUGUGAAGGUGUGUCGUGAGGCAUGCUGGAGGUAUCAGAAGUGCGAAUGCUGACAUAAGUAACGAUAAAGCGGGUGAAAAGCCCGCUCGCCGGAAGACCAAGGGUUCCUGUCCAACGUUAAUCGGGGCAGGGUGAGUCGACCCCUAAGGCGAGGCCGAAAGGCGUAGUCGAUGGGAAACGGGUUAAUAUUCCCGUACUUGGUGUUACUGCGAAGGGGGGACGGAGAAGGCUAUGUUGGCCGGGCGACGGUUGUCCCGGUUUAAGCGUGUAGGUGUGUGUUCCAGGUAAAUCCGGUUCACUUUAACACUGAGGCGUGACGACGAGGCACUACGGUGCUGAAGCAACAAAUGCCCUGCUUCCAGGAAAAGCCUCUAAGCAUCAGGUAACACGAAAUCGUACCCCAAACCGACACAGGUGGUCAGGUAGAGAAUACCAAGGCGCUUGAGAGAAUUCGGGUGAAGGAACUAGGCAAAAUGGUGCCGUAACUUCGGGAGAAGGCACGCUGACAUGUAGGUGAAGUGAUUUACUCAUGGAGCUGAAGUCAGUCGAAGAUACCAGCUGGCUGCAACUGUUUAUUAAAAACACAGCACUGUGCAAACACGAAAGUGGACGUAUACGGUGUGACGCCUGCCCGGUGCCGGAAGGUUAAUUGAUGGGGUCAGCGCAAGCGAAGCUCCUGAUCGAAGCCCCGGUAAACGGCGGCCGUAACUAUAACGGUCCUAAGGUAGCGAAAUUCCUUGUCGGGUAAGUUCCGACCUGCACGAAUGGCGUAAUGAUGGCCAGGCUGUCUCCACCCGAGACUCAGUGAAAUUGAACUCGCUGUGAAGAUGCAGUGUACCCGCGGCAAGACGGAAAGACCCCGUGAACCUUUACUAUAGCUUGACACUGAACAUUGAGCCUUGAUGUGUAG